rnacentral:rRNA from 1 species
UGGGGAAUAUUGGACAAUGGGCGCAAGCCUGAUCCAGCCAUGCCGCGUGAGUGAAGAAGGCCUUCGGGUUGUAAAGCUCUUUUGUUGGGGAAGAAAAGCACGGGAUUAAUACUCCUGUGUCCUGACGGUACCCAAAGAAUAAGCACCGGCUAACUUCGUGCCAGCAGCCGCGGUAAUACGAAGGGUGCAAGCGUUACUCGGAAUUACUGGGCGUAAAGCGUGCGUAGGUGGUUCGUUAAGUCUGAUGUGAAAGCCCUGGGCUCAACCUGGGAACUGCAUUGGAUACUGGCGAUCUGGAGUGCGGUAGAGGGUGGCGGAAUUCCCGGUGUGGCAGUGAAAUGCGUAGAUAUCGGGAGGAACAUCCGUGGCGAAGGCGGCCACCUGGACCAGCACUGACACUGAGGCACGAAAGCGUGGGGAGCAAACAGGAUUAGAUACCCUGGUAGUCCACGCCCUAAACGAUGCGAACUGGAUGUUGGGUGCAACUUGGCACUCAGUAUCGAAGCUAACGCGUUAAGUUCGCCGCCUGGGAAGUACGGUCGCAAGACUGA